CCUUUUGGCUAAGAUCAAGUGUAGUAUCUGUUCUUAUCAGUUUAAUAUCUGAUACGUGAGCCAUUGGUUCACUCGAUAUUAAAUUAAUUUUUUAAGGGAGAGGGUCUAUAACGGUAGCUUGCUACUGAGACUCUCAAGCAUCGUCCUUGCUAUGCACUAAUGCAAGGACUUGGUGCGCCCCAUCCAAUUUAGUCAAACUAUAAGUUCCUGAUUUUUAUUUGACCCAUGUGUAUCUAGUUCUUAAUGCUUAUGACUUCCAAUUUAGGCAAAUUGUGUACUAUUUCUUUUAGGUGGUAGUUUCAGUUGCCUAGUGUUGGAUUUUUGUGCACUAUAUCUGUUAAUUUAGAGUUUCACAUUAGUGUUGUAUUUUUGUGCACUAUACAUGGCCUAGUGUAUAUAUAAGUGGGCUUGCAAGAGAUGUGUGAAGGGUUUACAUGUGCUUUCCUCCAGAUGUCAAUUUGUGCUAGGCUUGAGGUUGUGUAAACUGAUCUCAUAACGUUGCAGAAAAAGGAGGGCAUAUCAGCAAGUAAUCUAAGCUCACUGGAGAUGCCUUAUGCUGCAUCAGGACAUUGUUGGAGCAGGUGCCUGAUAAAGUCCCAUGUUGAACAGGACUCUGGCAUGCAGCUGAAGUUCAGAAUAUAAAUUUGAAGACUUAUACUUGUUGAAACAUACCUUUUUCGAUCGUUUGACUAAGAUCAAAAACCAUCAUCUUCAACAACUCGUCACCACCAUCAAUCAAGAAAGAGAAAAGUUGGCAGACCCGUAGGUUCUAAGAACAAGCCAAAACCACUACUUGUGAUUGACAAAGCCAAUACGAGUGUUGUAAAACAUGUUUUCAUUGAAGUUCCUGAAAGCUAUGAUGUGAUUAGGACAAUUGUUAAAUUCGCUCGUCAUCACCAAGUUAGCAUCAUAGUGCUGAAUGCUUCAGGAACUGUUUCCAAUGUCACUAUUCGUAACACUUACUGUCAUGCUUCUCCUUUCACUCUAUAUGGACCUUUCAAAUUAAUUUCCCUCACUGGUACUUACAUACAUAAUGCUUCUUUAUCAUCAACCCUUAACAAGGACCCUCAUUGUUCUUUCGGCAUUUCUGUUUCUGGAAUCAAAGAACAAUGCUUCAUCGGAGGAGUUGGAGGAAAAGUUGUUGCACAGAAUGUAGUUAUGGUGGCAGCUGUUAUUGUGAACAAAUUUUAAAGUGUAUCAACAAUUAUAGAUGAUGGGAUAUAAUAAUUGUAACCCUAAUGCAUAUAUAUUCAAGGUAGCAAUUAAAGCAUGUCUAGCUUCGAUGUUAUUACCUAACACCUAGAGACAUGUGUAUGUAACAGAAUCAAGUGUUUUUUUCUUUUUUUUUUUUAUAUGAAUUCACAUCAAUUAUCCC